AACGAACGCUGGCGGCAGGCCUAACACAUGCAAGUCGAGCGCCCCGCAAGGGGAGCGGCCGACGGGUGAGUAACGCGUGGGAAUCUACCCAUCUCUACGGGAUAACGCAUGGGCACGUGUGCUAAUACCGUAUACGCACUUCGGGAGAAAUAUUUUUGGGGGAUGGAUGAGCCGGCGUUGGAUUGGCUAGUUGGUGGGGUAAAGGCCUACCAAGGCGACGAUCCAUAGCUGGUCUGAGAGGAUGAUCAGCCACACUGGGACUGAGACACGGCCCAGACUCGUACGGGAGGCAGGGGUGGGGAAGAUUGGACAGUGGGGGCAAGCCUGAGCCAGCCAUGCCGCGUGAGUGAUGAAGGCCCUAGGGUUGGAAAGCUGUUUCGUCGGUGAAGAUCAUGACGGUAACCGGAGAAGAAGGCCCGGCUAACUUCGGGCCAGCCGCCGCGGUAAAAC
rnacentral:rRNA from 1 species